rnacentral:rRNA from 1 species
GACGAACGCUGGCGGCGUGCUUAACACAUGCAAGUCGAACGGAAAGGCCCUGCUUUUGUGGGGUGCUCGAGUGGCGAACGGGUGAGUAACACGUGAGUAACCUGCCCUUGACUUUGGGAUAACUUCAGGAAACUGGGGCUAAUACCGGAUAGGAGCUCCUGCUGCAUGGUGGGGGUUGGAAAGUUUCGGCGGUUGGGGAUGGACUCGCGGCUUAUCAGCUUGUUGGUGGGGUAGUGGCUUACCAAGGCUUUGACGGGUAGCCGGCCUGAGAGGGUGACCGGCCACAUUGGGACUGAGAGACGGACCAGUCUCCUACGGGGGGCAGCAGGGGGGAAUAUUGCACAAUGGGCGGAAGCCUGAUGCAGCAACGCCGCGUGCGGGAUGACGGCCUUCGGGUUGUAAACCGCUUUCGCCUGUGACGAAGCGUGAGUGACGGUAAUGGGUAAAGAAGCACCGGCUAACUACGUG